GAGAGAGAGAGAGAGAGAGAGAGAGAGAGAGAGAGAGAGAGAGAGAGGUUCAGCAAGUAUUUUCAUCAGUACACUAAUAUGUGGGCAGUAUUUUAAAAUAUAUUAAAAGGGACAGUUUUUUAUAUUUCUCAACAACUGACCAUUUGUCUUCAACCUCCACCUGAGAGCCUGGGAUGGUCUGACUGACUGUUACUGAGGAGACCUGGAAGUGGGUGGAUGGCACAUCACUGACCACAGGGUACUGGGGGAAAGGACAGCCUGAUGAUAGAGUGCAGGAGGGCUGUGUUGAGAUGUACUCUGUCUCUGUCUGUCUGUCUGUCUGUCUGUCUGUCUGUCUGUCUGUCUGUCUGUCUGUCUGUCUGUCUGUCUGUCUGUCUGUCUGUCUGUCUGUCUGUCUGUCUGUCUGUCUGUCUGUCUGUCUCCCCUUUCUCUCUUCUUUCCCAUAGUUAUGUUAAUGGUUGUGUUGGUUCCACUUUUCUGGGCUCCGUUAUUUACUUAACAGAUAAGGAAUACUUAAAAUGUGCAUAUAUAAUUAGAAUACAGCCGUAGACAGAAGUCAAAGGUCAAACAUCAGACAUACAACUGAUGUCUCUCCUGAGUUCUGAUUUGAACAAAAGAAAGACGGCCUCUUAUGUACCCGAGAUCACACCUUAUGGUAUGAUCUCCUAUGUCAAAACCUGCAUGUGCAGCUAAAGUUAUUCUUAACACAAGGUUUCUGAGAACCUGUCUCAGCAGUAUGCAAAUCUGCCCUUGUUUUAGAGAAAAACAAACGCUGUCUCUCUCUGUCUCGCUAUCACCCUCAGUCCCUUUUCUCACCUUUCCUCACAGACGCUGGGCGGCGGGUUUUGGCAGAAAGCUAGACACAGACAGAGGCCUCAAUACUCAGCUAUAGAGUGAGCAAAAGUACAAUGGCACGAAAGCAAAUUAGUAACAACAUACUCAAUGGUGGGGGUCUUUAGAAGACCCACAAUAUCAACUUUAACCCUUCAGUUGGAUAAGGUCCUGAGUGAUGAUUCCACCUAGUGGUUAAAAUGAGAGAUGAACUCACCAAGGAGGUGAAAUAAUGGUAUUACAGACUCAAAACACACUGGAGAUCCUAGGGGAGGGACCUUGGACCUUCUCUCCCAAUAGGGUUGAUAGGAGGUGAGGAAUUGAAGAAACACAAACUGAGAUGAAGAAGAAAAUUAAGAGAAAGGCAGAAAGAAAAUAAGAAUAGUUGUGUUAAGAUUUAAUAAAAGGAGUGUGUAGACAUACCUUAAUGGGUACACAUUGGUUGAAUCAACAUUGUAUCAAUUUCAUUUCAAUAAAAUUACGCUGAACCAACGUGGAAUAGA